GAGACAGGGAUACUGGAGUGAUGGAGGUAGAUAUGUAUAGGGGGAAGGAGACAGGGAUACUGGAGUGAUGGAGGUAGAUAUGUAUAGGGGGAAGGAGACAGGGAUACUGGAGUGAUGGAGGUAGAUAUGUAUAGGGGGAAGGAGACAGGGAUACUGGAGUGAUGGAGGUAGAUAUGUAUAGGGGGAAGGAGACAGGGAUACUGGAGUGAUGGAGGUAGAUAUGUAUAGGGGGAAGGAGACAGGGAUACUGGAGUGAUGGAGGUAGAUAUGUAUAGGGGACAGGGAUACUGGAGUGAUGGAGGUAGAUAUGUAUAGGGGUAAGGGGACAGGGAUACUGGAGUGAUGGAGGUAGAUAUGUAUAGGGGGAAGGGGACAGGGAUACUGGAGUGAUGGAGGUAGAUAUGUAUAGGGGACAGGGAUACUGGAGUGAUGGAGGUAGAUAUGUAUAGGGGACAGGGAUACUGGAGUGAUGGAGGUAGAUAUGUAUAGGGGGAAGGAGACAGGGAUACUGGAGUGAUGGAGGUAGAUAUGUAUAAGGGACAGGGAUACUGGAGUGAUGGAGGUAGAUAUGUAUAGGGGACAGGGAUACUGGAG
rnacentral:lncRNA from 1 species